rnacentral:tRNA from 1 species
GACUUAUAAUUAUAAAUUGCAAAUUUAUGAUACAGAUAUGGUCUGAUAGGUUU